rnacentral:tRNA from 1 species
GCUAACGUAGCUCAGUCGGUAGAGCAGCUCACUCGUAAUGAGCAGGUCGUGCGUUCGAUUCGCAUCGUUAGCU